rnacentral:rRNA from 1 species
UAAGGAAUAUUGGUCAAUGGACGCAAGUCUGAACCGGCCAUGCCGCGUGAAGGAUGAAGGUCCUCUGGAUUGUAAACUUCUUUUAUCUGGGACGAAAACGGGAUUUUUAUCUCAAUUGACGGUACCAGAGGAAUAAGCACCGGCUAACUCCGUGCCAGCAGCCGCGGUAAUACGGAGGGUGCGAGCGUUAUCCGGAUUUACUGGGUUUAAAGGGUGCGUAGGUGGGCUUAUAAGUCAGUGGUGAAAUCUCCGAGCUUAACUUGGAAACUGCCGUUGAUACUAUAGGUCUUGAAUUAUCUGGAGGUAAGCGGAAUAUGUCAUGUAGCGGUGAAAUGCUUAGAUAUGACAUAGAACACCAACUGCGAAGGCAGCUUACUACAUAUAAAUUGACGCUGAGGCACGAAAGCGUGGGGAUCAAACA